GUGGUUGUGGCAGAGUGGUUAAGGCAAUGGACUAGAAAUCCAUUGGGGUUUCCCCCGCGCUGGUUCGAAUCCUGCCGACUACA